rnacentral:rRNA from 1 species
UACGUAGGGGGCAAGCGUUGUCCGGAUUUAUUGGGCGUAAAGAGCGUGUAGGCGGCCAGGUAGGUCUGCUGUGAAAACUCGAGGCUUAACCUCGAGAUGUCGGCGGAAACCAUCUGGCUAGAGUCCGGAAGAGGAGAAUGGAAUUCCCGGUGUAGCGGUGAAAUGCACAGAUAUCGGGAAGAACACCCGUGGCGAAGGCGGUUCUCUGGGACGGUACUGACGCUGAGACGCGAAAGCGUGGGGAGCGAACAGG